rnacentral:rRNA from 1 species
GUGCCAGCAGCCGCGGUAAUACGUAGGUGGCAAGCGUUAUCCGGAAUUAUUGGGCGUAAAGCGCGCGUAGGCGGUUUUUUAAGUCUGAUGUGAAAGCCCACGGCUCAACCGUGGAGGGUCAUUGGAAACUGGAAAACUUGAGUGCAGAAGAGGAAAGUGGAAUUCCAUGUGUAGCGGUGAAAUGCGCAGAGAUAUGGAGGAACACCAGUGGCGCAGGCGACUUUCUGGUCUGUAACUGACGCUGAUGUGCGAAAGCGUGGGGAUCAAACAGGAUUAGAU